ensembl:lncRNA
GGUGUCUCCGGAAGGACAGAUCCACUGGGAACAACACAGAGGGGGGCUCGGGCAUCCAAGGACGUCCAAUGACGUGAGAAGGGAGGCAACCUGCCUAUUUCUAUCAUCUUCACUAAAGCCUACCUUUCUUAUUUUUAAUGAAAUGUUUAAAAAAUAAAAUGUAAAAAAAAGGAUUUGGGAACAGAAAGGUCAAGACCUCCUCUGUCCUCUGUAGAUCUUCAGGCCCUGAUUUGAAAUGAUGUGUGUGCUCAGCCCUAGACUUUCAAGGCAGCUUCAAGUGAGAUAUGUUCUGACCAGAUUCCAGCCUCCAGUCCCUGUUCCCAGCCCUUCACCAGAGCCGUCGGGUAAAUUUUCUAAUCCUCUCCGGGACAUUCCUAUUUCCUGCCGAGAAGUAAGAAAACAACAGUGCUUCCCUAAGGGCGGUAUGCCUCAGCCCUGCCUCGCAAUCUCCAUUUUAGGAAAAAUGUUUCCCCGAGCACGAAUCCUCUGAAAGGAAAAGGCCUGUGAGUCUCCUGGGAAAGAAUAUGAGACCCCACCGUGAGGAUUUGCCGUAGAAUUUCGCUGCAUUCCUCUGCGGGACUGGGCUGUCUAGGAAGUUCAUUUUGAUUUAAAAAUAUAUCAGAAUGGGAAUGUGUUUGUGUGAGUAGGCGUGUGAAACAGAUUUGAAAAAAAGACAGGCAAAAAUAAAGUGGGGAGAUAAGGAGAGAGGUCAAAGGCAAAUAGUUCUUUCCUUCUAAAAGGAUCUCUUCAGAGUGCUUGGAUUUUUUAUUAUGGAAAUACUCAAAACAUUCAAAACUAGAGAAAAUAGUCUAAUGAACCACUGGGUGCCCCUCAUCCCGCUUCAACAAUUAUCAACAUUGCCAACCUUUAUCACUUAUCUGCUCCUCUUCUUUUUUUGUACUAGAGCUGGGCCUGGCCAAAUCCAUGGCCAAAACCAACUUGCCUCUUGUUUUUCAGGGGAAAGAAAAAAAGGUUUACUGGAACACAGCCAUUCCCAAUGGUUUCUAUUGUCUAUACCUGUGUUCACAUCCCAGCAGCAGAGGUGAAUAGUUGUGACAGAAAUCGUGUGACCCACGUGCCUGAAAUAUUUCUUGUCUGGUCUUUCACAGAAAAUAUUUACACACGCACUCAGCCCUGUGCACAUGCAUGCCUGCUCAGUCAUGUCCUACCGUUUGCAGCCCCAUGCACUGAAGCCCACCAGGCUUCUCUGUCCAUGGGAUUCUCCAGGCAAGAACACCGGAGUGGGUGGGCAUGCCCUUCUCCAGGGGAUCUUUCCCACCCAGGGAUCAAACCCAGGUCCGUAGCACUGCAGGCAGAUUCUUUACUGUCUGAGCCGUCUCUUUUACUCACACUUAUUUGUUGAAGAAACCAGACUCUUUGUCCUACAAAAUCGCCACAUUUCGGAUAUAGUUGGGUAUAUGCUCAUUGCACCAUUUUACAUGACCACAAUGCAUUAUUUUUAAUUAGAGUAGGCCUUAAAAAAAAAAUGGAGUACAGUUGAAUUACAACGUUGUGUUAGUUUCAGGUAUACAGCAAAGUGUUUCACUUGCUGCUGCUGCUGCUGCUAAGUCGAUUCAGUCGUGUCCGACUCUGUGGGACCCCGUAGGCGGAAGCCCACCAGGCUCCCUCACCCCUGGGAUUCUCCAGGCAAGAAUACUGGAGUGGGUUGCCAUUUCCUUCUCCAAUGCAUGAAAGUGAAAAGUGAAAAGGAAGUCGCUCAGUCGUGUCCGACUCUUAGCAACCCCAUGGACUGCAGCCUACCAGGCUCCUCCAUCCAUGGGAUUUUCCAGGCAAGAGUACUGGAGUGGGGUGCCAUUGCCUUCUCCGGUGUUUCAGUUAUAUAUAUACAUAUACACACACACUUUUUCAAGAUAGUGAAUAUGGUUCCCUGGUCUAUAUAGUAAGUCUUAUUGUUUAUCUGCUUUGUAUUUAGUGGUGUGUAGUGUGUAUCUAUUAAUCCCAAUCUCCUAAUUUAUCCCUCCCUACCCUUUCCCCUUUGAUAGCCAUGUUUGUUUUCUAAGCCCGUGAGUCUAUUUUUGUUUCGUAAAUAAAUUCCUUUGCAUAAUUUUUUUAAGAUUCCACCUUGAAGUGAUAUUGUAUGAUAUUUGUCUUUCUCCAUCUGACUUACUUCAGUAUGUUAAUAGUAUGAUAAUAUCUACAUCCAUC